AAGACCAUUCGUUCAGGGAUCAUUUCUAUAGUUCUUGACUUGAGAAAUGUGUUUCUAAAGUGUUUGGUCUCGCUCAUCACAAUGAAAAGAUUAGAUAUUCCUUCCUGAACGUGUAGCUGACAUUGAAUAAUGAUUCUAAUAUAUGUUCAUUGUCAUUGAUCAACGUUCAUCUCUCACUAGUGGGGCUUUGAUGGAAGUGAUAUGUUCAGAGUGGU